GCCCAGCUCUCGCCCCACCGCGACCUCCCAGGCCCAAGUCCCUGCCUACCUCCCAGCAGCCCGAGUGCGAUCCUGUUCCUCCCUCACGGUGGCCUGUUGAGGCAGGGGGUCACGCUGACCUCUGUCCGCGUGGGAGGGGCCGGUGUGAGGCAAGGGCUCACACUGACCUCUCUCAGCGUGGGAGGGGCCGGUGUGAGGCAAGGGGCUCACGCUGACCUCUGUCCGCGUGGGAGGGGCCGGUGUGAGGCAAGGGCUCACACUGACCUCUCUCAGCGUGGGAGGGGCCGGGGUGAGGCAAGGGGCUCACGCUGACCUCUGUCCGCGUGGGAGGGGCCGGUGUGAGGCAAGGGCUCACACUGACCUCUCUCAGCGUGGGAGGGGCCGGGGUGAGGCAAGGGGCUCACGCUGACCUCUGUCCGCGUGGGAGGGGCCGGUGUGAGGCAAGGGCUCACACCGACCUCUCUCAGCGUGGGAGGGGCCGGUGUGAGGCAAGGGGCUCACGCUGACCUCUGUCCGCGUGGGAGGGGCCGGUGUGAGGCAAGGGCUCACACUGACCUCUCUCAGCGUGGGAGGGGCCGGUGUGAGGCAAGGGGCUCACGCUGACCUCUGUCCGCGUGGGAGGGGCCGGUGUGAGACAAGGGGCUCACACCUCUCUCAGCGUGGGAGGGGCCGGUGUGAGGCAAGGGGCUCGGGCUGACCUCUCUCAGCGUGGGAGGGGCCGGUGUGAGACAAGGGCUCGGGCUGACCUCUGUCCGCGUGGGAGGGGCCGGUGUGAGGCAAGGGGCUUGGGCUGACCUCUCUCAGCGUGGGAGGGGCCGGUGUGAGACAAGGGGCACGCUGACCUCUCUCAGCAUGGGAGGGGCCGGUGUGAGACAAGGGGCUCGGGCUGACCUCUGUCCGCGUGGGAGGGGCCGGUGUGAGGCAAGGGGCUCACGCUGACCUCUGUCCGCGUGGGAGGGGCCGGUGUGAGGCAAGGGCUCACACUGACCUCUCUCAGCGUGGGAGGGGCCGGUGUGAGACAAGGGGCUCACGCUGACCUCUGUCCACGUGGGAGGGGCCGGGGUGAGGCAAGGGCUCACACUGACCUCUCUCAGCGUGGGAGGGGCCGGUGUGAGGCAAGGGGCUCACGCUGACCUCUGUCCGCGUGGGAGGGGCCGGUGUGAGGCAAGGGCUCACACUGACCUCUCUCAGCGUGGGAGGGGCCGGUGUGAGGCAAGGGGCUCACGCUGACCUCUCUCAAG
rnacentral:lncRNA from 1 species